ACCAAACAAAAAAAGCUUCAGACCACAGCACUUAUAAUCACUCAGAUUCAUAAAUUAAGUAGUUGCAAGUACUUGUCUAGGGAG